rnacentral:lncRNA from 1 species
CAGAUUUUGCGACAGUCCGACAAAAUUUUAGCGGUAUAUCAUAUUUCAUCCAAUACUAUCACUGAUGGGAGGCUCUUUUUUUAACAUCCGCGUUAAUUCUGACAAGAUAUGCUAAAAAACAUAGAUCCUAUAAAUCUCAUGGCAAUCAGAUACAUAUGUCCAUCCAUCAUUUCAAUAGGCUCCAAUCAUCAUAGACAAUAAUAGCCAUUACAUUUAUUUUGUUUCUGAGAAAAUUACCAAUCUUUGCUAUUAUAAAAACAGUAAAAAAGUAAUAUCGCCUAAAUCUAUAUCUAAAUUACAAACCCUCUACAUUAUGAAAAUAAUCUAAACCACCCCUGGCCUUAAUCUAAAUUAAUCACAUCUACCAUUAUAAAACAUAAUAUACAAUAACCCCCUAGUCUAAACGUUUUCCACAAAAAAU